GCGGGUGUAGCUCAGUGGUAGAGCGUUGUCCUUCCAAGUCAAAUGCCGCGCGUUCGAAUCGCGUCACCCGCU
rnacentral:tRNA from 1 species